CGGGAAUCGGGAUUAUGCCUUACGGGUAGAUCUCCCACCCUAUGUUAUUAUUACUUUGUUGCUUUGGCGGGCCGUCAGGCUCACGCCCGGCUACCGGCCCCGGCUGGUAAGCGCCCGCCAGAGGACCCAAAACCCUGAUUAUUAGUGUCGUCUGAGUACUAUAUAAUAGUUAAAACUUUCAACAACGGAUCUCUUGGUUCUGGCAUCGAUGAAGAACGCAGCGAAAUGCGAUAAGUAAUGUGAAUUGCAGAAUUCAGUGAAUCAUCGAAUCUUUGAACGCACAUUGCGCCCCUUGGUAUUCCGAGGGGCAUGCCUGUUCGAGCGUCAUUACAACCCUCAAGCCUGGCUUGGUAUUGGGCUUCGCCACUCACCUGGCGGGCCUUAAAAUCAGUGGCGGUGCCGUCGAGGCCCUGAGCGCAGUAAAUAUCCUCGCUAUAGGGACCCGGCGGUUGCUGGCCAUCAACCCCCAACUUUCUAAGUUUGACCUCGGAUCAGGUAGGGAUACCCGCUGAACUUAAGCAUAUCAAAA
rnacentral:rRNA from 1 species